UGCCCCCGAUUUCUUAUCCGUCAGACCUGAACACUUCUCUGAAUGAUUCCAAAAAGAGGAAAUGUAGAAUGGAAACUGGCUUAAUUUCUUUUGUGACACAGAAGCCAGUUCAAAGCAGAA
rnacentral:snoRNA from 1 species